AUUAGAUGCAAUUCACAAAAUUGUGAAAUAAUUUUUCAUUGCUGAGUUACAGAGUUGUAAACUUGACAGUAUCGUUUUCAGAAAAUUUGCAAUUUUUGCCAAUAUUUAAUAAAAAAUUCACGACCUAAAUCGAAAAUUGAAAAUG
rnacentral:lncRNA from 1 species